rnacentral:misc_RNA from 1 species
UACGGAGGGUGCUAGCGUUGUUCGGAAUUACUGGGCGUAAAGAGCGCGUAGGCGGAUUUGUAAGUUGGGAGUGAAAUCCCGGGGCUUAACCUCGGAAUUGCUCUCAAAACUACAAAUCUAGAGUAUGGUAGGGGACAGUGGAAUUCUUAGUGUAGGGGUGAAAUCCGUAGAUAUUAAGAGGAACACCAGAGGCGAAGGCGACUGUCUGGACCAUUACUGACGCUAAGGCGCGAAAGCGUGGGGAGCAAACAGG